rnacentral:rRNA from 1 species
AGCAGUGGGGAAUAUUGCACAAUGGGCGCAAGCCUGAUGCAGCCAUGCCGCGUGUAUGAAGAAGGCCUUCGGGUUGUAAAGUACUUUCAGCGGGGAGGAAGGGAGUAAAGUUAAUACCUUUGACUCAUUGACGUUACCCGCAGAAGAAGCACCGGCUAACUCCGUG